rfam:Aspergillus nomius NRRL 13137 contig00030, whole genome shotgun sequence.
GUCAGUGUGGCCGAGUGGUUAAGGCGAUUGACUCGAACUUUCCUUUCUACGGAAUAUAUUCGAUAUCAAUUCCAUUCGUGGGCACAGGUUCGAAUCCUGUCGCUGACG